rnacentral:misc_RNA from 1 species
CAACCCUCAAGCCCGGCUUGGUGUUGGGGCCCUACGGUCGACGUAGGCCCUCAAUGGUAGUGGCGGACCCUCCCGGAGCCUCCUUUGCGUAGUAACUUAACGUCUCGCACCGGGAUCCGGAGGGGCUCCUGCCGUAAAACCCCCCAAUUUUCCAAA